GCCGCGGUGGUGGAAUUGGCAGACACGCGGGACUCAAAAUCCCGUAGGGGAAACCCUGUGAGAGUUCAAGUCUCUCCCGCGGCACCA
rnacentral:tRNA from 1 species